AUUGAACGCUGGCGGCAUGCUUUACACAUGCAAGUCGAACGGCAGCGGGGACUUCGGUCCGCCGGCGGGUGGCGAACGGGUGAGUAAUGCAUCGGAACGUGCCUAUCAGUGGGGGAUAACGCUUCGAAAGGAGUGCUAAUACCGCAUAUUCUCUGAGGAGAAAAGCAGGGGACCUUAGGGCCUUGCGCUGAUAGAGCGGCCGAUGUCGGAUUAGCUAGUUGGGGAGGUAAAGGCUCACCAAGGCGACGAUCCGUAGCGGGUCUGAGAGGAUGAUCCGCCACACUGGGACUGAGACACGGCCCAGACUCCUACGGGAGGCAGCAGUGGGGAAUUUUGGACAAUGGGCGAAAGCCUGAUCCAGCCAUGCCGCGUGAGUGAAGAAGGCCUUCGGGUUGUAAAGCUCUUUUGUCCGGGAGGAAAUCCUGGCCUCUAAUACAGGUCGGGGAUGACAGUACUGGAAGAAUAAGCACCGGCUAACUACGUGCCAGCAGCCGCCGUAAGAC
rnacentral:rRNA from 1 species